rnacentral:rRNA from 1 species
UACGUAGGGGGCAAGCGUUGUCCGGAAUUAUUGGGCGUAAAAGGUGCGUAGGCGGGUCUUUAAGUCAGGGGUGAAAUCCUGGAGCUCAACUCCAGAACUGCCUUUGAUACUGAGGAUCUUGAGUUCGGGAGAGGUGAGUGGAACUGCGAGUGUAGAGGUGAAAUUCGUAGAUAUUCGCAAGAACACCAGUGGCGAAGGCGGCUCACUGGCCCGAUACUGACGCUGAGGCACGAAAGCGUGGGGAGCAAACAGG